rnacentral:rRNA from 1 species
GUCUUCGGACUUAGCGGCGGACGGGUGAGUAACGCGUGGGAACAUACCCUUUGGUACGGAAUAGCCUCGGGAAACUGGGAGUAAUACCGUAUGUGCCCUUCGGGGGAAAGAUUUAUCGCCAAAGGAUCGGCCCGCGUCUGAUUAGCUAGUUGGGGUGGUAAUGGCACACCAAGGCGACGAUCAGUAGCUGAUUUGAGAGGAUGAUCAGCCACACUGGGACUGAGAUACGGCCCAGACUCC